GGUUAAAUUAAUAAGGGCACAU
rnacentral:rRNA from 1 species